rnacentral:rRNA from 1 species
GAUGAACGCUGGCGGCGUGCCUAAUACAUGCAAGUCGAGCGAACAGACGAGGAGCUUGCUCCUCUGAUGUUAGCGGCGGACGGGUGAGUAACACGUGGAUAACCUACCUAUAAGACUGGGAUAACUUCGGGAAACCGGAGCUAAUACCGGAUAAAAUUUUGAACCGCAUGGUUCAAAAGUGAAAGACGGUCUUGCUGUCACUUAUAGAUGGAUCCGCGCCGCAUUAGCUAGUUGGUAAGGUAACGGCUUACCAAGGCAACGAUGCGUAGCCGACCUGAGAGGGUGAUCGGCCACACUGGAACUGAGACACGGUCCAGACUCCUACGGGAGGCAGCAGUAGGGAAUCUUCCGCAAUGGGCGAAAGCCUGACGGAGCAACGCCGCGUGAGUGAAGAAGGUCUUCGGAUCGUAAAACUCUGUUAUUAGGGAAGAACAAAUGUGUAAGUAACUAUGCACGUCUUGACGGUACCUAAUCAGAAAGCCACGGCUAACUACGUG